ACUGCUCAGUAACACGUGGAUAACCUGCCCUUGGGUCCGGCAUAACCCCGGGAAACUGGGGAUAAUUCCGGAUAACGCAUAUGUGCUGGAAUGCUUUAUGCGUAAAAUGGAUUCGUCUGCCCAAGGAUGGGUCUGCGGCCUAUCAGGUAGUAGUGGGUGUAAUGUACCUACUAGCCGACAACGGGUACGGGUUGUGAGAGCAAGAGCCCGGAGAUGGAUUCUGAGACAUGAAUCCAGGCCCUACGGGGCGCAGCAGGCGCGAAAACUUUACAAUGCGGGAAACCGUGAUAAGGGGACACCGAGUGUCAGCAUCAUAUGCUGGCUGUCCAGGUGUGUAAAAUACACCUGUUAGCAAGGGCCGGGCAAGACCGGUGCCAGCCGCCGCGGUAACACCGGCGGCCCGAGUGGUGAUCGUGAUUAUUGGGUCUAAAGGGUCCGUAGCCGGUUUGGUCAGUCCUCCGGGAAAUCUGAUAGCUCAACUAUUAGGCUAUCGGGGGAUACUACCAGACUUGGAACCGGGAGAGGUAAGAGGUACUACAGGGGUAGGAGUGAAAUCUUGUAAUCCCUGUGGGACCACCUGUGGCGAAGGCGUCUUACCAGAACGGGUUCGACGGUGAGGGACGAAAGCUGGGGGCACGAACCGGAUUAGAUACCCGGGUAGUCCCAGCCGUAAACGAUGCUCGCUAGGUGUCAGGCAUGGCGCGACCGUGUCUGGUGCCGCAGGGAAGCCGUGAAGCGAGCCACCUGGGAAGUACGGCCGCAAGGCUGAAACUUAAAGGAAUUGGCGGGGGAGCAC
rnacentral:rRNA from 1 species